AACACCAGUACCCCAACAUUGUUUUGUACCGGCAAGGAGAGGCCAGGCUGAAGUGUACAGAGGCAGCCAAGUCUGUGUCAGAGGCCCCCAGCACCGUUGUUGACCCUACAUGGCUGGAUCCCAAGACAGCAGAGGCGAUGGCCAAGAGAUCCGGGGGUGAGCUGUGGAAAGGUCAGCUGGUCAUUGUGUUCGGGAAGUACGCCGGUCAAACGUUCAGGUGGCUUCUAGAAAACGAUGUCGGCUGGCUGGUGUGGUUGCUGUUCCAGUACUGCCAGCAGGGAGAGCAGAACGAGCUGCUGAAGUGGCAGAAGGAGCGACUGCUCGAGUACGCCAAAGAGUUCCCUCCUGUCACAUGGCACCUUGAGAGGAGGUUGAAGAAAGUGCAAUCGAAGCCCGACCUCUCUCAGCAGGACCCCAACUACGCCAGCGAUGCCGAGUUGUUGACUGCUGCAGAGAGUGUCCUGGACAGGUCCGAGGCAUCGGUCAGCACGCAGCUGACCACCUGGGGAGACCUCGCCAGCUCUGUGUGCCAGGACGACAGGCCCGGACCCUUGUCCCUCCGAGAGACCUCGGAACCCAAUGGCGUCGUGCUGGAGGGCUGGCAGAAGUUCUGGGAGC
ensembl:lncRNA